UGAACUUCGGUUUGGGUGGCGGACGGGUGAGUAACGCGUAAAGAACUUGCCUCACAGCUAGGGACAACAUUUGGAAACGAAUGCUAAUACCUGAUAUUAUGAUUAUAUGGCAUCGUAUAAUUAUGAAAGCUAAAUGCGCUGUGAGAGAGCUUUGCGUCCCAUUAGCUAGUUGGAGAGGUAACGGCUCACCAAGGCGAUGAUGGGUAGCCGGCCUGAGAGGGUGAUCGGCCACAAGGGGACUGAGACACGGCCCUUACUCCUACGGGAGGCAGCAGUGGGGAAUAUUGGACAAUGGACCGAGAGUCUGAUCCAGCAAUUCUGUGUGCACGAUGAAGUUUUUCGGAAUGUAAAGUGCUUUCAGUUGGGAAGAAAAAAAUGACGGUACCAACAGAAGAAGUGACGGCUAAAUACGUGCCAGCAGCCGCGGUAAUACGUAUGUCACGAGCGUUAUCCGGAUUUAUUGGGCGUAAAGCGCGUCUAGGUGGUUAUGUAAGUCUGAUGUGAAAAUGCAGGGCUCAACUCUGUAUUGCGUUGGAAACUGUAUAACUAGAGUACUGGAGAGGUAAGCGGAACUACAAGUGUAGAGGUGAAAUUCGUAGAUAUUUGUAGGAAUGCCGAUGGGGAAGCCAGCUUACUGGACAGAUACUGACGCUGAAGCGCGAAAGCGUGGGUAGCAAACAGGAUUAGAUAUCCUGGUAGUCCACGCCGUAAACGAUGAUUACUAGGUGUUGGGGGUCGA
rnacentral:rRNA from 1 species